ensembl:lncRNA
CCUAUAUCUUCACCGCUAUCACCAUCAUGAUCACCAUACCUUUACCCUCACCACCAUCAUCGUCAUAAUCACCACUACUGUGAUUUUUGUUAUGACUGACAUCACCUUCAUCACCAUAUCAUCAUCAUAUUAAUCACCACCACCAUCUUCAUCACCCUCAUUAUCAUCACCAGCACCAGUACCAAUGAUUAUGAUGAUUAUGGCGACAAGGAUGGUCAUGAUGUUAAUGGUGUUGGAUCAUCACCCUCACUCUCACCAUCACCACAAUCAUCACUACCAUCACAGCGAUCAUCACCCUCACUCUCACCAUCAUCACAAUCAACACCAUCAUCACCAUCACAGUGAUCAUCGACCUCACUCUCACCAUCACCACAAUCAUCACCGUCAUCACAGCGAUCAUCACCCUCACUCUCACCAUCAUCACAAUCAUCAUCAUCAUCACAGCGAUCAACACCCUCACUCUUGCCAUCACCACAAUCAUCACCAUCAUCAUCACAGCAGUCAUCACCCUCACUCUCACCAUCACCACAAUCAUCACCAUCAUCAUCACAGCGAUCAUCACCCUCACUCUCACCAUCACCACAAUCAUCACUGUCAUCAUCACAGCGAUCAUCACCCUCACUCUCACCAUUACCACAAUCAUCACUACCAUCACCAUCACAGCAAUCCUCACCCUCACCAUCACCACAAUCAUCAUCAUCAUCACCAUCAUCACAGCGAUCAUCACCCUCACUCUCACCAUCACCACAAUCAUCAUCAUCAUCACCAUCAUCACAGCGAUCAUCACCCUCACUCUCACCAUCACCACAAUCAUCACCAUCAUCACAGCGAUCAACACUCUCACUCUCACCAUCACCACAAUCAUCACCAUCAUCAUCAUCAUCACAGCGAUCACCCUCACUCUCACCAUCAUCACAAUCAUCACCACCAUCAUCAUCAUAGCGAUCAUCACCCUAACCCUCGCCAUCACCACAAUCAUCACCGUCAUCAUCACCCUCACUCUCACCAUCACCACAAUCAUCACCGUCAUCAUCACAGCGAUCAUCACCCUCACUCUCACCAUUACCACAAUAAUCACCAUCAUCAUCAUCACAGUGAUCACCCUCACUCUCACCAUCACCACAAUCAUCACCUUCAUCACCAUCACAGCAAUCAUCACCCUCACUCUCAC